GCUAACGGUUAGCCUAGCUGUUAGCCACCUAGCAUGCUAGCUCGUUGAGAACAAUGGGGCCACCAUUUAGGUGUUAGCCUAGGCUAACGGUUAGCCUAGCUGUUAGCCACCUAGCAUGCUAGCUUCGUUGAGAAACACUCAGAAGUAUAUUAGAGCUGAUUAUAGACCUACUAUAUAAGAGGCCAAGACCGGAACAUCUGAAUUAAAAUAACGAUUGUUCCCUAAUACAAUACAUAGCCUAUUGCAUAUUAUGCACUUUAAUGAUUUAAGAUGUCUUUGGUACAUAAUUUGGUCUAUCCUAUUCUCCUACAUUAAAACACACACUAGUAACGGCCUUUGAAUGUGGACUGUAUUAUUAUGCAUACUGGGUGGACUGGUUAAAUGUAUAGGCUUAGGUCAUGUUGCUGCUUCAUUGAUUGUGCAAGGUGGCUUACAAUAAUUAUUACUUACUUAUAAUUAUUGUGAAUUUGUAUUUGAUUUUUAAUUAGCCUGGUAAAAAAAAGGGCUUUUUUUUUUAAUACUUUCAUAAUUAAUCGGCUGACACAUUACCUUUAAUAACUGGAGAAUAUAUCUCACCACUGUGUUUUUCCCAUCUCCUCUCUUCUUCAUUCCUUUCUCAAGGAUGUAGAGAGAGAGAGGUGCUGUCACCAGCUUCAUCCACUAUGUUUCGUUGGUUGGAGGGCCCAUACAGAGUACUGGGUAGCUGCAGGAACAAGGUUGGAGGGCCCAUACAGAGUACUGGGUAGCUGCAGGAACAAGGUUGGAGAGCCCAUACAGAGUACUGGGUAGCUGCAGGAACAAGGUUGGAGGGCCCAUACAGAGUACUGGGUAGCUGCAGGAACAAGGUUGGAGAGCCCAUACAGAGUACUGGGUAGCUGCAGGAACAAGGUUGGAGAGCCCAUACAGAAUACUGGGUAGCUGCAGGAACAAGGUAGGAGGGCCCAUACAGAGUACUGGGUAGAUGUAGGAUCAGGGUAGGAGAGCCCAUGGCAUACAGAGUACUGGGUAGAUAAACAGGGUAGAAGGGCCCAUGGCAUACAGAGUACUGGGUAGCUGCAGGAACAAGGUUGGAAGAGCCCAUGGCAUACAGAGUACUGGGUAGCUGCAGGAACAAGGUAGGAGGGCCCAUGGCAUACAGAGUACUGGGUAGCUGCAGGAACAAGGUAGGAGAGCCCAUACAGAGUACUGGGUAGCUGCAGGGUAGGAGAGCCCAUGGCAUACAGAGUACUGGGUAGCUGCAGGAACAGGGUAGCAGUGCCCAUACAGAGUACUGGGUAGAUGCAGGAACAGGGUAGGAGAGCACAUGGCAUACAGAGUACUGGGUAGCUGCAGGAACAAGGUAGGAGAGCCCAUGACAUACAGAGUACUGGGUAGCUACAGGAACAGGGUAGGAGAGCCCAUGGCAUACAGAGUACUGGGUAGCUGAAGGAACAGGGUAGGAGGGCCCAUGGCAUACAGAGUACUGGGUAGCUGCAGGAACAAGGUUGGGAGAGCCCAUACAGAGUACUGGGUAGAUACAGUAACAGGGUAGGAGAGCCCAUACAGAGUACUGGGUAGCUGCAGGAACAGGGUAGGAGAGCCCAUACAGAGCACUGGGUAGAUACAGGAACAGGGUAGGAGUGCCCAUACAGAGUACUGGGUGGAAUAUCACCUGUCGCGCAGCGAGAGGCUGGGUGCUCCUCAAACAGUGGUUGAUUUGUGGAGUGAAAUGUGUUCCCAGACAUUUCUAUAUGGAACCAAGCAGUGUUGAUGGGUGUCACUGAAAAGAGGAUCCCAGCUGCUACGCUGCCAGCUGCUACCCUGCCAGCUGAUACUCUGCCAGCUGCUACGCUGCCAGCUGCUACUCUGCCAGCUGCUACGCUGCCAGCUGCUACGCUGCCAGCUGCUACUCUGCCAGCUGCUACUCUGCCAGCUGCUACCCUGCCUGCUGCUACUCUGCCAGCUUCUACCCUGUCAGCUGCUACCCUGCCAGCUGCUACUCUGCCAUCUGCUACCCUGCCAGCUGCUACUCUGCCAGCUGCUACCCUGCCAGCUGCUACUCUGCCAUCUGCUACCCUGCCAGCUGCUACUCUGCCAUCUGCUACCCUGCCAGCUGCUACUCUGCCAUCUCCUACCCUGCCU
rnacentral:lncRNA from 1 species